UCCGGUGUAGUGUAAUGGCUAUCACGGUUCGCUCUCACCGAAUCGAUCCGAGUUCGAUUCUCGGCUCCGGAG
rnacentral:tRNA from 1 species